AUUGAACGCUGGCGGCAGGCCUAACACAUGCAAGUCGAACGGUAACAGGAAGAAGCUUGCUUCUUUGCUGACGAGUGGCGGACGGGUGAGUAAUGUCUGGGAAACUGCCUGAUGGAGGGGGAUAACUACUGGAAACGGUAGCUAAUACCGCAUAACGUCGCAAGACCAAAAAGGGGGACCUUCGGGCCUCUUGCCAUCGGAUGUGCCCAGAUGGGAUUAGCUAGUAGGUGGGGUAACGGCUCACCUAGGCGACGAUCCCUAGCUGGUCUGAGAGGAGGACCGGCCACACGGGAACUGAGACACGGUCCAGACUCCUACGGGAGGCAGCAGUGGGGAAUAUUGCACAAUGGGCGCAAGCCUGAUGCAGCCAUGCCGCGUGUAUGAAGAAGGCCUUCGGGUUGUAAAGUACUUUCAGCGGGGGGGAAGGGAGUAAAGUUAAUACCUUUGCUCAUUGACGUUACCCGCAGAAGAAGCACCGGCUAACUCCGUG
rnacentral:rRNA from 1 species